UACAGAGGUCUCAAGCGUUGUUCGGAUUCAUUGGGCGUAAAGGGUGCGUAGGCGGCGCGGUAAGUCGGGUGUGAAAUCUUGGAGCUUAACUCCGAAACUGCAUUCGAUACUGCCGUGCUUGAGGACUGGAGAGGAGACUGGAAUUUACGGUGUAGCGGUGAAAUGCGUAGAUAUCGGGAGGAACACCUGAGGCGAAGGCGGGCUACUGGGCCGAUACUGACGCUGAUGCGCGAAAGCCAGGGGAGCGAACGGG
rnacentral:rRNA from 1 species